GAUGAAUGCUGGCGGCGUGCCUAACACAUUCAAGUCGAACGGAGUUAAUUUGGAAGCUUGCUUCCGGAUUAACUUAGUGGCGGACGGGUGAGUAACGCGUGAGCAACCUGCCUUUGUAUGGGGGAUAACACAGGGAAACUUGUGCUAAUACCGCAUAACAUAUACCUUUCGCAUGUGAGGUAUAUCAAAGAUUUUAUCGCUCAAAGAUGAGCUCGCGUCCCAUUAGCUAGUUGGUGAGGUUAAACGGGCCCACCAAGGCGACGAUGGGUAGCCGGACUGAGAGGUUGAACGGCCACAUUGGGACUGAGACACGGCCCAGACUCCUACGGGAGGCAGCAGUAGGGAAUAUUGCGCAAUGGGGGCAACCCUGACGCAGCAACGCCGCGUGAUUGAUGAAGGUCUUCGGAUUGUAAAAAUCUUUAAUUAGGGACGAAAAAUGACGGUACCUAAAGAAUAAGCUCCGGCUAACUACGUG
rnacentral:rRNA from 1 species